rnacentral:lncRNA from 1 species
AUGACAACUUUGCAAAGACUGCUGCUUUCGUGUGCCGUUCGGGCUUUUUAUUCCCUCCCGUCUCCCCGAGGGCUGGCAUGUCGGCGAGGAUUUGGCGGAGGGGUUAACAGCCGCCCUGCGUUUCAGAGCUCGGAGCUUUGUCACUGCGUAGUUCGCCAAGUGGGGAGCGGUGACGCAGUGAUCAUUGCAGGGCACGCCGGGCGGCUUUUCAAAGCACCGGGGGGACAGGUACGCGCUGCCUUCCAGACGCUUCCACGCCAGCUGAAAGGGGUUAAGGAUGAGUCGAGACGGGAAGCCAGCGUUUGGGGAUUAAAUGUCAUCAUUUUGGCGUUGGGAAGUUGUUUACCUUGCUCUCGCCGUGUCUCCGUGCUGGCAGCCGGCCAGCUCCCAUGUGAUAGUCUUCCCUGUACUGCUGCAUCAUUAACCGGGGGCCGGGGCCGGCUCCCCAUUGGCCGGGGGAGGGCUCUCGGCCCCAAGGCGCCGCGCCAUUGGCGGAGGAGGCGCUGGCAGGUGAAAAGCCCUCGCGGAUUGGCCGAGGGCUGGGUGUCAAAUCUGAAUGUUGGCUGCGCUCGCCGCGAGCGCUGCUGCCGGCCGCCGGCUGCGGGUAGGGUGCGGGUAGGGGUAGGGGUGCGGGUAGGGGUGCGGGUAAUAGGUCCAGGUAUGGGUAAAGGUGUGGGUAUGGGUGCGGGUAUAGGUGCAGGUAUGGGUCUGGGUACGGGUGCGGGUAUGGGCACUGGUAUAGGUGCGGGUAUAGGUAUGGGUACGGGUACGGGUAUAGGUCCGGGUACAGCUGCGGGUAUAGGUGCGGGUACAGGUGCAGGUAUAGGUGCGGGUAUAGGUCCAGGUGCGGGUAUAGGUGCGGGUAUGCGUGCAGGUAUGGGGCCGGGCAUGGAGCCCUGCCCGCCCACACGACCCGUGUCACCCCGUGCCGGUGCCGGUGCGGUUUCACUUUGCUGCGCGGCUGUGGCGAUGACGUGUCAGAGCUGCCAAGCUCGGCCAGGGGAACUCGCUCGGGUUUGGGGCUUUUUUUUUCCUCCUUUCUCUCCUGCUUUCUCUCUUCUGUCGGUGGUAGUUGAGUGUUGGUCACACCGUGAGCCGCUCGGGGCAGGGACCGAAUGUGGCAAUCGCGUGGCGGGAUUAAUGAAGCGGAAAAGGCUCCUGCCCGAACGCCGACAUGCCGCCCGGGCGAGAGUUUGUCGGUGUGGGCGAGGCGAGGGAGCGCUGCCGGCGGCCCUGAGCCGGGGCUCCGCAAGGUCUGCAAAAGGAAACCAGAGCGUUAGGAGGCAAAAAGGCAGGCAUAAAGGAGGACUGGGACAGGCUGGGGAAGGAGGGAUAGGAGACCGCGGACAGACAGCGGCUCCGGAAAGGAUGAGGAAAUGA